rnacentral:rRNA from 1 species
GACGAACGCUGGCGGCGUGCCUAAUACAUGCAAGUCGAGCGCAGGAAAUCAUCCGAACCCUUCGGGGGGACGUUGAUGGAAUGAGCGGCGGACGGGUGAGUAACAUGUAAAGAACCUGCCCUCAGGUCUGGGAUAACCACGAGAAAUCGGGGCUAAUACCGGAUGGGUCAUCGGACCGCAUGGUCCGAGGGUGAAAGGCGCUUCGGCGUCGCCUGGGGAUGGCUUUGCGGUGCAUUAGCUAGUUGGUGGGGUAAUGGCCCACCAAGGCGCCGAUCCAUAGCCGACCUGAGAGGGUGAUCGGCCACACUGGGACUGAGACACGGCCCAGACCCCUACGGGAGGCAGCAGUAGGGAAUCUUCCACAAUGGACGAAAGUCUGAUGGAGCAACGCCGCGUGAACGAUGAAGGCCUUCGGGUCGUAAAGUUCUGUUGUAAGGGAAGAACAAGUGCCGCAGGCAAUGGCGGCACCUUGACGGUACCUUGCGAGAAAGCCACGGCUAACUACGUGCCAGCCGCCGCCGUAA